UCCUCUCUCAAACCCCCGGGUUUGGUGUUGGACCGCGUUGGACCGCCUAUGGCCAACUGGUCUCAAAGACAAUGACGGCGUCCCAGGGACCCUCUACGCACUGAGUUCUCCGGAGCACGCGCAGAGUAUCAAGGGCCCAGGGACCCGGUCGCCUCCAAAACUUUUUUCA
rnacentral:misc_RNA from 1 species